CUUCUUCUUGUAUGGCAUUCUCACAGGCUUAACAAGAUCCUCCAAGCUCUUUGCAUCAGAUAAAGAAGUGAAUGACUGUGCCUUCCCUUGAAGUAGCAUCAUCCAAAAAGUCUGCAGAUGAAGAGGAAGAAGAAUCACUUGCAGAGAAGGAUGAUGACAAAGAACCAAUAGAAGACUCCAUUAAACCAUCCAUUGCUGACUGUAUGAUCCCUCAACCCUUCUUAAAUACUAAUCCUUGUAGUCUUUUACAGCUUGGCGGAUUACACAAGACAAGAUAAGGUGAGAGAGUACUUGGCAUGUAUUUAUAUAUAUAUUAAGUACAUAAUUAUGGGAAGAAAAUCACUGAUUGAUUUAAUUACA